rnacentral:lncRNA from 1 species
CAAAGAUCCAGUUUAUAAAUGCAAAAUAGUGAUGGUUUUUGAAAUAAGCUUUGAAAUGCAGGGAUCUUGAAAGCUGUCUAGGAAUAAAAUAGCUUUUUAGAUGAGAUGGCUAGUUACAUCUAUGUGUUUCUGAUUUCAAUCAAUGAAUUUUCUAUCUAUACUAACCACUGGACAUUUAAAAAUAUUUCUAAUAUUUAGAAUAGUUAAUAAUAUGCCUGCUUUUGGAUUCACAAGAUUGGCUUAUACCAAUUAUUUUUAAGAAUUAACAUUGGGUAGUUUAUUGAAUAAUCUGUUUAUCUUUUCAAUAGUUUCAUUGCUGC